UUUUAGUAACGGCGAGUGAAGCGGUAACAGCUCAAAUUUGAAAUCUGGCUCUUGCGGAGUCCGAGUUGUAAUUUGUAGAAGAUGCUUUGGGUUGUGGGUUCGGCCUAAGUUCCUUGGAACAGGACGUCAUAGAGGGUGAGAAUCCCGUAUGUGGCCGAGGCCCGCGCCUAUGUAAAGCUCUUUCAACGAGUCGAGUUGUUUGGGAAUGCAGCUCAAAAUGGGUGGUAAAUUUCAUCUAAAGCUAAAUAUGGGCCAGAGACCGAUAGCGCACAAGUAGAGUGAUCGAAAGAUGAAAAGCACUUUGGAAAGAGAGUUAAACAGUACGUGAAAUUGUUGAAAGGGAAGCGCUUGCAACCAGACUUGGGCGCUGCCGAUCACCUUGAGUUUUCUCGAGUGCACUCGACAGCGCACAGGCCAGCAUCGGUUCGGGUGGCUGGAUAAAGGCCGUAGGAAUGUGGCUCUCUUCGGGGAGUGUUAUAGCCUACGGUGCCAUGCAGCCCAGCCGGACCGAGGACCGCGCCUUCGGGCUAGGAUGCUGGCGUAAUGGUUGUAAGCGACCCGUCUUGAAACACGGACCAAGGAGUCUAACAUCUAUGCGAGUGUUUGGGUGGUAAACCCAUACGCGGAAUGAAAGUGAACGUAGGUGAGAACCCCUUUGGGGCGCAUCAUCGACCGAUCCUGAUGUCUUCGGAUGGAUUUGAGUAAGAGCAUAGCUGUUGGGACCCGAAAGAUGGUGAACUAUGCCUGAAUAGGGUGAAGCCAGAGGAAACUCUGGUGGAGGCUCGCAGCGGUUCUGACGUGCAAAUCGAUCGUCAAAUUUGGGCAUAGGGGCGAAAGACUAAUCGAACCAUCUAGUAGCUGGUUCCUGCCGAAGUUUCCCUCAGGAUAGCAAA
rnacentral:rRNA from 1 species